rnacentral:rRNA from 1 species
UGGGGAAUAUUGCACAAUGGAGGGAACUCUGAUGCAGCAACGCCGCGUGCGGGAUGACGGCCUUCGGGUUGUAAACCGCUUUCAGCCAUGACGAAGCUUUUGUGACGGUAGUGGUAGAAGAAGCACCGGCUAACUACGUGCCAGCAGCCGCGGUGAUACGUAGGGUGCGAGCGUUGUCCGGAAUUAUUGGGCGUAAAGAGCUUGUAGGCGGUUUGUCGCGUCGAUAGUGUAAACACGCAGCUUAACUGUGUGCCUGCUGUCGAUACGGGGUGAGUAGGGGAGGGUAGGGGAGAAUGGAAUUCCCGGUGGAGCGGUGGAAUGCGCAGAUAUCGGGAGGAACACCAGUGGCGAAGGCGGUUCUCUGGACCUUUCCUGACGCUGAGAAGCGAAAGCGUGGGUAGCAAACAGG